rnacentral:rRNA from 1 species
AAGAGUACGUGAAACCGCUUAGGGGUUAAGCCCGAUGAACCUGAAUAUCCGAAUUGAGAAAUUCAAUACUGUUUUAGUUGCUUAUCUAAACAAUAAGUAAUCGAUGGUAUGCACUUUUCUCAUAGUAGGACAUUGCGAUCCAUUAGUAGUCUCUUUGAGACGGUUUAUCAAACGGCCUGCGUAGUCAGUUUAGCCUAUCUGCAAUGCAUUUAUGUAUUGUAUGGUUAAUGCUACUGCGGUGACCUGGUAAACAGCUGAUGGAGCUUAACAAUCAUGCCACCAUGCAAAUGUAUCACGGUGCGAUUAUAUUUAUAUUUUCGUAUGCAGUGAUCGCAUGUAUUUGAUUAGCAAUGCGAUAGAUUUGGGAUACCUUCGGGACCCGUCUUGAAACACGGACCAAGAAGUCUAACAUGUGUGUAAGUCAUUGGGUAUUUUGAUGAAACCUAAAGGCGAAAUUAAAAUAACUAUUAUGGGAUUACAAGCAAUCUACAAUGGUUGUUUCUCCAUCCCGGGGCGUUCUAUAUGAACAUGGUUCAAGCAAUUGGACCCUCUGUUCGAGAGCGUACCUUGAACAUACAUGCUGUGACCC